ACACGCAUGGAUACCGUGGAAGUUUUGCAAGUUGAUCGCAAAGGUUGGUUAAGUCUUUCUUAAAUAAAUUUGCCGUUAGUGAUUUCAUAAUUCUAGGAAUCGUCUAGUUUUCUUACAAUGAUCAUGUUGCCACUUUUUUUGCGUUACAACAACAUUCCUCCUUAUUUUAAUGUAUUUUCAUCGUGCUCCAUGGCAGAGAAACACACAGAUAUGCUUUUUCCUGGGCCUGGUUUAAGUAAGAGAGCUGGAUUAACGGCUUCUGUGGGCGAGAAGAAGCAAAAAACACAUUUUGCAUUAGAGUAUGAUUUAUUGUUGGCGUCAGAGAUGCAAAAUAACGAAUACUUCAAUACUGUACUUAAGUAGAAUUUUCUGGUAUCUUUACUUUACUGCUGUACUUUUUUGUGCCUACUGUAUACUUCUUUAUACUUCUCACAUUUUAGCACGCGUAUCUGUACUUUGUAAUCCGUACAUUUGUAAAUCAGCCCCCCGCACGCGUGCUUUGGACGCAAGAUUACUUCAAAAUUUUGUACAUAAAUUAUAUUUUAGACCCUGUACUUCUUCUUCGACUUGACUAAAAAGUCGAGUCGGUGCUUUUUAAACAGAGGUAUCUAAACUGUAGUAAGGAACGUGUGUACUUGUGACACCUUUGGUUAGCGUCAACACUGUAAAUUUCGUCACAAACAGAUUUAUAUAUUUAUCAAUACUUCUAUUCGUCAUUCUUUUCUGUACAGCUUUUUUAUUGCCCAGAUUUUAGUUAGCCCCUGUUCAAUUGACUGUUAUAUGUCAAUAGAAACAUGUCUCACAAAUUAAAGUGUCUUGUAAAAUAUUUGUGUUUUUUUUCAAGAAUUUUCUUCCCAAAUCUAUUACAUGCCAACUGUAAAUUGUUAUUUCUGCUAAAACCUUAACUUAAAUGUGUAUAUGGUGUUUAUCUGUUUCUCUCUCUGUUUUAGAUGCACACAUCAAUCUGGAAUUCGGCUUAAAGCCAGAAUUGCAGGAAUGCAACACGUGUUGCAGAGGACUCUUUCACUGCCCUCUGUGCCCCACUUUCAGCCCUACUGUCAGGGCAAAGAUUGAGGAGCAUCUAAGUGUGCAUAUAAAAAAUGCUUUGCCUUUCAAAGAUAAAAUGAUAUGCCGGUGCAGGCUGCCUUGUAGGACAACAGGACACUUUCACCGCCCUGUCUGUAAGAUUACAAUCAUACGGCGUGGGGAUAUGGCAAGGCAUUUAUUGUCUUGUCAGCAUUCUUCAAUGCCAAGUCAGCCACCAUUAUCAGGACUGCUCCCCGCUGAACUCUCCGAGGAGACCCGUAUUCCUCCGGCAGUACUCUUCGAGGAGCCCCGUCUUCCCCCCCAAGCUCUGGCAAGCUAUUUGCACACUGGAGAGAGGAAGCCAAAGCUGUGCUUGAAGGACAACACGUGCCCAUUUUCAGACUGAAAAAGCGCAAGUUCCAGGAAGUCAGUCAGGAGCCAGCAGUUGUUGAAGAUCUGCGUCCUGCUGUGCAGUGGGUUGUCCAAAAUAAGGCACUUUUCCGUGGACAGUAACAAUGCCCAAAUAUCUGUCCUUAAAUCAAGAGGACCAGCAGAGGGUCUUAAGAGACAUGUCAGAGGAAGAAGACACUGGAGCAAGGGACUUGUUCCUCUUUGUUUUUCAGUUUGCAGAGGACAUGGAGCUCUUUUUGAAAGCAUGUGCUGAUGAGCAGGGGCUAAGGGUCAGUGCUAUGUUUGACAUGUAAUGGACAAAUGAAGGCACUGGCUGUUUGUUUGUUUGUUUAAUAUGUUGUUGUUUUUUGUUUUGCGUUUUGCGUAGUACAAAAUUCCAAUUAAACUUAUUUCAAAAUGUUGUUCACUUUAUUCUGUGUCCAUACUUAUAAUAAAGGAUUACAGUGUAACAGCAUUAAAUGUAAAUGUAACAGCAUUUUUUUUAAACUUGUAAUUUCAAAAUAAAAAGCUUAUUGUUGAUAUUAACAGUAAA